rnacentral:tRNA from 1 species
CAGCUACAGUGGUAGAGCGGCUGACUGCAGAUCAGCAGGCUUCGGUUCAGAUCCGGGCGU